UGGGGAAUAUUGGACAAUGGGCGAAAGCCUGAUCCAGCCAUGCCGCGUGUGUGAAGAAGGUCUUCGGAUUGUAAAGCACUUUAAGUUGGGAGGAAGGGCAGUAACCUAAUACGUUAUUGUUUUGACGUUACCGACAGAAUAAGCACCGGCUAACUCUGUGCCAGCAGCCGCGGUAAUACAGAGGGUGCAAGCGUUAAUCGGAAUUACUGGGCGUAAAGCGCGCGUAGGUGGUUUGUUAAGUUGGAUGCGAAAGCCCCGGGCUCAACCUGGGAACUGCAUCCAAAACUGGCAAGCUAGAGUAUGGUAGAGGGUGUGGAAUUUCCUGUGUAGCGGUGAAAUGCGUAGAUAUAGGAAGAACACCGAGUGGCGAAGCGACCACCUGGACUGAUACUGACACUG
rnacentral:rRNA from 1 species